GCAAUUAAAGGAAGUUUUCGGAUGGAAUUUGAUUGACUGAGUGGCGGACGGGUGAGUAACGCGUGGAUAACCUGCCUCACACUGGGGGAUAACAGUUAGAAAUGACUGCUAAUACCGCAUAAGCGCACAGUACCGCAUGGUACGGUGUGAAAAACUCCGGCGGUGUGAGAUGGAUCCGCGUCUGAUUAGCCAGUUGGCGGGGUAACGGCCCACCAAAGCGACGAUCAGUAGCCGACCUGAGAGGGUGACCGGCCACAUUGGGACUGAGACACGGCCCAAACUCCUACGGGAGGCAGCAGUGGGGAAUAUUGCACAAUGGGCGAAAGCCUGAUGCAGCGACGCCGCGUGAGUGAAGAAGUAUUUCGGUAUGUAAAGCUCUAUCAGCAGGGAAGAAAAUGACGGUACCUGACUAAGAAGCCCCGGCUAACUACGUGCCAGCAGCCGCGGUAAUACGUAGGGGGCAAGCGUUAUCCGGAUUUACUGGGUGUAAAGGGAGCGUAGACGGCGAAGCAAGUCUGAAGUGAAAACCCAGGGCUCAACCCUGGGACUGCUUUGGAAACUGUUUUGCUAGAGUGUCGGAGAGGUAAGUGGAAUUCCUAGUGUAGCGGUGAAAUGCGUAGAUAUUAGGAGGAACACCAGUGGCGAAGGCGGCUUACUGGA
rnacentral:rRNA from 1 species